CACGGGGGGAGCAAGCGUUGUUCGGAAUCACUGGGCGUAAAGGGCGUGUAGGCGGUCUGGUAAGUGGGAUGUGAAAGCCCCCGGCUCACCCGGGGAUCGGCAUUCCAAACUGCCAGACUUGAGUAUGGGAGAGGAUAGGGGAAUUCCUGGUGUAGCGGUGAAAUGCGUAGAUAUCAGGAGGAACACCGGUGGCGAAGGCGCCUAUCUGGCCCAAUACUGACGCUGAGGCGCGAAAGCUAGGGGAGCAAACGGG
rnacentral:rRNA from 1 species